GCGCCCGUAGCUCAGCGGAUAGAGCACUGGUCUUCGGAACCAGGUGUCGGAGGUUCAAUUCCUUCCGGGCGUA
rnacentral:tRNA from 1 species